AGAAGAGUUAGAAUGGCAGUUCCCGCCCCUUGGGCGGUACCAAAUAAAUGACUACUUGAGGAUUUUCCGUUAUUUAAAUCGUCUGUCUCCGUCAUUUGUAGUUAUUUAUCAUUCAAUGAAUGACUGAUAAAGGAUUCAUUGAUAUUAGUCUAAUCCAAUUAGAAUGCUUGGUACUUUGUAGUUGUACAUAAGCAAAGUAUUGAAAAUCAUUUUGGGAACGUCCAGUGCCAAAGUCACUGAAUGGGGUUUCAUUGACCAAAGAGUUGAUAGCAAGGAUCAUUCUUGGUGUGGAUACGCCUAGAGUCUUCGCACUAUCGAAAAAAUUCUGAAACGAGACUCUCUUCACCAGCUUAUCACUCACCUUGGUGAUUAAUCCAUUGUAGUAUGAUUUCUUUUGACUAUAGAAAAUUGGGCAUCCAAAGCAAGUAAAAGAAAAAGCCUUGGGCAAACACCUGUAUGAAUCUCCAUCAAGAUGGCCAUGUCCAUAGGAGCAGAUUCAUGCAAAUAAAUGAUUGUAUUUGUACUGCACGCAUUAAAUACUAAUUUUGAAUAGGUUCAGAUAUUUGAAUACCAAAAUGAAAUAUUCAACCAAUUAAUAUAUUUUGAAUUUGAAAAAGAGUAAGAAGAAAUAUUCAGAUUUCUUAUUUUUUAUUUCUCGAACCGAGAGUUCCAUGAAUUGGA